rnacentral:rRNA from 1 species
CUACGGGUUGCAGCAGUGGGGAAUCUUGCGCAAUGGGGGGAACCCUGACGCAGCAACGCCGCGUGAGUGAUGAAGGCUUUCGGGUCGUAAAGCUCUGUCAAGUGGGAAGAACCUAUGCAGUGUUAAUAUCACUGUAUACUGACGGUACCACUGAAGGAAGCACCGGCUAACUCCGUGCCAGCAGCCGCGGUAAUACGGGGGGUGCAAGCGUUAUUCGGAAUCAUUGGGCGUAAAGGGCACGUAGGCGGCUUGGUAAGUCAGAUGUGAAAGCCCGGGGCUUAACCCCGGAAGUGCAUUUGAUACUGUCAGGCUUGAGUAUGGGAGAGGGAAGUGGAAUUCCUGGUGUAGAGGUGAAAUUCGUAGAUAUCAGGAGGAACACCGGUGGCGAAGGCGACUUCCUGGACCAAUACUGACGCUGAGGUGCGAAGGCGUGGGUAGCAAACAGGAUUAGAUACCCCAGUAGUC